GAAGGUUUUCGGAUCGUAAAGCUCUGUUGUUAGGGAAGAACAAGUGCCGUUCGAAUAGGGCGGUACCUUGACGGUACCUAACCAGAAAGCCACGGCUAACUACGUGCCAGCAGCCGCGGUAAUACGUAGGUGGCAAGCGUUCCGGAAUUAUUGGGCGUAAAGGGCUCGCAGGCGGUUUCUUAAGUCUGAUGUGAAAGCCCCCGGCUCAACCGGGGAGGGUGAAACGAGGGAACUUGAGUGCAGAAGAGGAGAGUGGAAUUCCACGUGUAGCGGUGAAAUGCGUAGAGAUGUGGAGGAACACCAGUGGCGAAGGCGACUCUCUGGUCUGUAACUGACGCUGAGGAGCGAAAGCGUGGGGAGCGAACAGGAUUAGAUACCCUGGUAGUCCACGCCGUAAACGAUGAGUGCUAAGUGUUAGGGGGUUUCCGCCCCUUAGUGCUGCAGCUAACGCAUUAAGCACUCCGCCUGGGGAGUACGGUCGCAUUCCUGAAACUCAAAGGAAUUGACGGGGGCCCGCACAAGCGGUGGAGCAUGUGGU
rnacentral:rRNA from 1 species